rnacentral:tRNA from 1 species
AUUUAUAUAGCUUAUUAUUAGAGUUAAAUAUUGAAGAUAUUUUGGAGAAUGUAUUUUCUAUAAAUA